AACGAACGCUGGCGGCAUGCCUAACACAUGCAAGUCGAACGAGACCUUCGGGUCUAGUGGCGCACGGGUGCGUAACGCGUGGGAACCUGCCCUUAGGUUCGGAAUAACUCCCCGAAAGGGGUGCUAAUACCGGAUAAUGUCUUCGGACCAAAGAUUUAUCGCCUUUGGAUGGGCCCGCGUUGGAUUAGCUAGUUGGUAGGGUAAAAGCCUACCAAGGCGACGAUCCAUAGCUGGUCUGAGAGGAUGAUCAGCCACACUGGGACUGAGACACGGCCCAGACUCCUACGGGAGGCAGCAGUGGGGAAUAUUGGACGAUGGGCGAAAGUCUGAUACAGCAAUGCCGGGUGAGUGAUGAAGGCCGUAGGGUUGUAAAGCUGUUUUACCCGGGAUGAUAAUGACAGUACCGGGAGAAUAAGCGCCGGCUAACUCCGUG
rnacentral:rRNA from 1 species